rnacentral:rRNA from 1 species
AGUGAACGCUGGCGGCAGGCCUAACACAUGCAAGUCGAACGAGUGGCGGACGGGUGAGUAAGGUCUGGGAAACUGCCUGAUGGAGGGGGAUAACUACGGGAAACGGUAGCUAAUACCGCAUACCAGCGGAUGUGACAAGAGGGGAUUAGCAAGUAGGUGGGGUAAAGGCUCACCUAGUCGACGGUCCCUAGCGGGUCUGAGAGGAUGACCAGCCACACUGGAACUGAUACACGGUCCAGACUCCUACGGGAGGCAGCAGUGGGGAUUAUUGCACAAUGGGCGCAAGCCUGAUGCAGCCAUGCCGCGUGUAUGAGGAAGGCCUUCGGGUUGUAAAGUACUUUCAGCGGGGAGGCGUUACCCGCAAAGGAAGCACCGGCUAACUCCGUGCCAGCCGCCGCGGUAAUUC